ensembl:lncRNA
CACACUCCACCUCACACACUCCACCUUCACUCAACACAGUUUACAGUCCAGGCGAGGUGUCCGGGCCACAAGUGUCGCUUGACAAAAAAUGACGUAAAAGCGAUAAUAUUUGUGUCUGCUAGGGUGUUCCAGACCACGUCACGAACAUGCACAAUUUUGAAAGGACUCAGACGUUGAAAGAAGUUUUUGUCGCUAACUUUGAUUGGAUAAGAAGAGAUUGGACGUUUUGUUUUGUUGCCAAGGAUAUGUCCAUCUGGCUGUAGCAUCCUAGGUAGCUAGCAGUGUCAGCUGUAAAGUUAUCAUUUGAUGAAGCAUUGACUUAAUCAACAGUCGAGGAGAUAUCAUUUCUACGUUAAUGAUGGGAUCACAAAGGAAGAUGUGCGUUCAGGAUGAAUCGGUCCCUCUUCCAUGGCCGAUACCACUUGAAGUAGUUGACUAAUGUUAGCUAGGUAGAUUAGCCAUAGAGAUGACACGUUCAGAUCUAAUCCAUCUUGUCAUCAGUGACGGAUAUCACAGGUUGUCACGGUGAUUUAAAGCCAUCUUGUCAUCAGUGACGGAUAUCACAGGUUGUCACGGCGAUUAAAGCCAUCUUGUCAUCAGUGACGGAUAUCACAGGUUGUCACGGUGAUUUAAAGCCCUUGCCAGAGCCUCUUAAUGGUUAUCGAGCGAUUGGCCUUUCCACUCACACGUUCAACAUUACUCAAGCAUUACAUUCACAAUCACAGGACAGUGUUCUGUUUGGUGUGUGUGAGAGAACAGUGUUAUAUUCCACACUGUUGAAACCCUACAUACAGUACCAGUCAAAAGUUUGGACACACCUUUAAUUUUUGUGUUAAGUGUUUUCUUUACUUUUAUUAUUUUCUACAUGGUAGAUUAAUACUGAAGACAUUUAAACUACGAAAGAACACAUAUGGAAUGAUGUACUAAACAAAAAAAAGUGUUAUCUACCAUGUAGAAAAUAAUAAAAGUAUAGAAAAAGCUUCUCAAAAAAUGAGAAGGUGUGUCCAAACUUUUGACUGGUACUGUAUAUGCCCAACAGAAGGUCCUCAACACCCCCAGACUGGCCCAAAAGCAGAAGUGUUCUUUGAAUAUUCUCUCGAUAUAUACCUGAAUAAUAAGCAUAUCUUGAACUAGGUCCAACUCUUUGGCAUGCGUCAUGCAGUUUGUCGCAGUACAGUGCGCAUUGUAUGCGAUACGGCAGUGGGUGGACUGACAGCAGAAUGGUGGGGAUAACUACCAUUAUCACGAUCAUCCCUCU